rnacentral:lncRNA from 1 species
GAGAGGCAUUCAAAGAUGGACUUUCCCUUCUCGCCACUCCCCAAGUUCCAGCGAAGGAAACACAAAGAAGAGUGCUUCCUCUACGGCUUCCAGGCUGGAGGUUUCUGUCCACCGAACCUACCUGAAGUUGUCUUGAUCGGCUGCAGCUCAGCGCCUUGCCAGCAGCACAGCAGGAAGACAGAUAAGAAGGUCCUCGAUCCUCUAUUCGCUGCCAUGGUCCCUCCAGUUACAGGAGGAGGCCCUUCCCUGGAAGGACAGCAGCAAUGGUCACGGAAGAAUAAAUCCCUCCAAGGAUGGACUUUGAAGCUGGGCAUGGUGGUGUCCACCUGCAAUUGCAGUCUUUGGAGCAUUUGCGUUGAAGGGAAACAAACAAGCUAUCAACAAAGGCCUUUGUAGUCACUACUGACCUCACCGCAUGGCCCUGAGUGUCCCUGAUGGAUGUGUAUGACCCUUUAUGUGGAUCACACAGGGGCUUGUCUGUCAUUAUAUCACUGAUUCCU